rnacentral:rRNA from 1 species
CAGUGGCUAUCCUGCGAGUCGAGCGGACAGAUGGGAGCUUGCUCGCUGAUGUUAGCGGCGGACGGUAGAGAUAACACGUGGGUAACCUGCCUGUAAGACUGGGAUCUUCAUCAGGGAAACCGGGGCUAAUACCGGAUGGUUGUUUGAACCGCAUGGUUCAGACAUAAAAGGUGGCUUCGGCUACCACUUACAGAUGGACCCGCGGCGCAUUAGCUAGUUGGUGAGGUAAAGGCUCACCAAGGCAACGAUGCGUAGCCGACCUGAGAGGGUGAUCUGCCACACUGGGA